rnacentral:rRNA from 1 species
AGAGUUUGAUCAUGGCUCAGAACGAACGCUGGCGGCAGGCUUAACACAUGCAAGUCGAACGGCUGUAGCAAUACAGCAGUGGCAGACGGGUGAGUAACACGUGGGAACCUUCCUAGGGGUACGGAACAACUCAGGGAAACUUGAGCUAAUACCGUAUACGUCCGAGAGGAGAAAGAUUUAUCGCCCUUAGACGGGCCCGCGUCGGAUUAGGUAGUUGGUGGGGUAACGGCCUACCAAGCCUACGAUCCGUAGCUGAUCUGAGAGGAUGAUCAGCCACACUGGGACUGAGACACGGCCCAGACUCCUACGGGAGGCAGCAGUGGGGAAUCUUGGACAAUGGGCGCAAGCCUGAUCCAGCCAUGCCGCGUGAGUGAAGAAGGCCUUAGGGUUGUAAAGCUCUUUUGCCAGGGACGAUAAUGACGGUACCUGGAGAAUAAGCCCCGGCAAACUUCGUGCCAGCAGCCGCGGUA